GCUGUUUAAUGGGAAGAAAUUUGGGCUCCCUGCAAUCCAUGAGCUGGGAUUUUUGAGGGGUUAUUUUGGUGAAAAAAGGAAGGAGCUGACCACAAAAAAACCACACCACUUUUCUGAAAAGCUGCAUGGACAGUAGGAGCUGCAGGAGGCUCCUUAUGUGCAGUCUACAGGCAGAGCUCACCACCUGGACCAGCAAACUGAAGGCAGAACUUGAACAGAAUUUAUGGGGGACAGCACUUCCACCCACAUCCUGUUACAGGUAUCUGCAGAGAGUCCCAGCUCAAGUCCUCCGAGGCACGGAAACCUUAUGUUGUGUGAGAGGAAAGCUCAGGCUCGUGCCAUUAGAAAGAGAUCUGUCUAAAGCAUGGCUCAAGUCUUCAGAAGUAUGUGUGCCCGCCUUAUGCACAUCCAGAACCCAUGACUUGCACUCAGGUUAAGUUUCCAUGCAAGAGUAGGCAUGUGUGGGAGUGCACAAAUCCCCGGUAUCACACCUGUGCAUAACUCAGAGUGCCGCUGGGUUCAGUGGAGAUCAGGGUUCAAACAGCAAGGUGCUUCACCGUUGUAGGUCUUAACCAGGAUUUGAUCUCAACUUUUAAAAUUGUCAGCUCACAACACUCUACUGGAGGAUUUUGCACUUUGGGGCUUGUAUUUCUAUAACAGUUUAACACACUUUUUACAAUGAUGAGGACUUUUUUUUUUUUAAGUCCUGCAACUACUUCUCCUAAUCUGACUGAAACAGCCAUAUAUCCAAAACCAAAUUUUGUUGUCACCUAAAACCAAGCUCAGCUUUAGAGGUAGAAAAUGCCUGUAAAACAAAAUGAAAACAAAUAGCACUAAAACUAGCAACAAUGCAACCUAAAUUACCUGAAUGCCAGUGAAGAACAUUGAAUGAGUUUGAAUAACCAAGUAAAAUUUUUGUAUAACAGCUGUGGGGACAUGACCCUGUUACAACAAUGUGGAAUUACAGAUAACUGAGAUUGAAAUAAAUCAACGCUGUAUUGUAUAAUGCACCCUCCCCCACAAAAAAAAAUUGAAUGACAGUGUCAUUAGAAAUUAAUUCAGGUAUUGAAAUUCUGCUAUCAGAUCGGAUAAUUUGUUUUUCUACAUACAGCUUUCAUUUCAGAGAUAGCAGAAGUUGUACAAAAUACUGAGGCUGUUGCAGCCCGCAGUCUAUGAUGGAAUGAAUGAUUGAUAUAAUGUGGCUUUGUGGGGCUUUUUUUUUUUUUAGCUCAAAUAAUGUUAUUCACUUCCUGUAGAAUAUACUAAACUCACAUUGCCUCAGCAACUCCUCAAAAUACAAGGAAAAAUAUCCAACCCAUUAAAAAAUAUUUAUGGAUCAAGCACAAUUGUUUAUCUUUCAAAUUUCUUAAGUGAGGAAUCCGUGAAAUUCAUUGUAUCUUUAUUUAGGAGGCAGGAGUGAUACUUUUUAAAGAGAAAUGUGGGAUUUGUUGACAUAAUUUACUUACUUAAUGAUCCAUUUUCAUUAAAUAUUCUGCAUACACA